AUGGGCCUUGCCUGUAUCCCUGUCCCUUUGCUGGAGGCGGUCCUGGUCCCUCCGACCAUUACCGUCCCGAUCUCCCUCCCGGUCUCUGUCGCGACCACGGUCUCGAUCCCUGUCCCAGCCAUGAUCAUGUUCACGGCCUCGGUCAUGGUUACGAUCCUGGCCACGGUCAUCAUGUGCACGGUCACGGUUAUGGCUGCGAUCACCACGCCCGCGGUCUCUGUCACGACUGCGGUCAUGGUCACGAUCCCGUCCGCGUUCAUCACGCGUGCGGUCAUGGUCACGGUCCCGAGAGCGGUCAUCGCGACUGCGGUCCCUGGAAGGGGCAGGGGUGGUCGCCGCUGCAGCAUUGGCAUCACGCUCAAGCUCGAGGCGGAGCUCGCGGGCGCGAUCUGCGUCGUCCGGGCGCGAGAGCGCGCGGUACUUGGAGUUGGACUGCGAGGCGGCGGAGCUAGGGUUAUGGGAGGGCGGCGGGAGGAUGGCGUGGAUGAUGGUGAGGAGCGUGCGGACGAAGUAGUCGGGGAGGUCGGCGCCGUUGGCCUUGAGCUUGGCGUCGAAAUCGGCGACCGAGGGGGCGUCGCGCCCGAGCUCGGUAAUGAACUCAGCCAGUACCUUGUCGCCUACACCGAUGUGCGUCUCCAGCUCCGAGCAGACCUUGGAGACGAGCGACAGGUACUCCAACUUUCGGAGCCCGUCGUCGCCGGGACCCUCCGCCGCCGGCGGCGCCAUGGCUAG
rnacentral:rRNA from 1 species